CCAGACUCCUACGGGAGGCAGCAGUGGGGGAUAUUGCACAAUGGGGGAAACCCUGAUGCAGCGACGACGCGUGGGUGAAGAAGUAUUUCGGUAUGUAAAGCCCUAUCAGCAGGGAAGAAAGAAGACGGUACCUGACUAAGAAGCCCCGGCUAACUACGUGCCAGCAGCCGCGGUAAUACGUAGGGGGCGAGCGUUAUCCGGAUUCACUGGGUGUAAAGGGAGCGUAGACGGCCGUGCAAGCCAGGAGUGAAAGCCCGGGGCCCACCCCCCGGACUGCUCUGGAAACUGUGUAACUGGAGUGCAGGAGAGGCAGGCAGAAUUCCUAGUGUAGCGGUGAAAUGCGUAGAUAUUAGGAGGAACACCAGUGGCGAAGGCGGCCUGCUGGACUGUAACUGACGUUGAGGCUCGAAAGCGUGGGGAGCAAACAGGAUUAGAUACCCUCGUA
rnacentral:rRNA from 1 species